CAGCACAGCAGAGCUUGCUCUGUGGGUGGCGAGUGGCGGACGGGUGAGUAAUGCAUCCGGGACCUACCCAGACGUGGGGGAUAACGUAGGGAGAACUGACGCUAAUACCGCAUACGUCCUACGUCGAGAAAGCGGGGGACCUUCGGGCCUCGCGCGGUUGGAUGGACCGAUGUGCGAUUAGCUUGUUGGUGAGGUAACGGCUCACCAAGGCGACGAUCGCUAGCUGGUCUGAGAGGAUGAUCAGCCACACUGGGACUGACACACGGCCCAGACUCCUACGGGAGGCAGCAGUGGGGAAUAUUGGACAAUGGGCGCAAGCCUGAUCCAGCAAUGCCGCGUGUGUGAAGAAGGCCUUCGGGUUGUAAAGCACUUUUAUCAGGAGCGAAAUCUGCAGGGCUAAUACCCAUGCAGUCUGACGGUACCUGAGGAAUAAGCACCGGCUAACUCCGUGCCAGCAGCCGCGGUAAUACGGAGGGUGCAAGCGUUAAUCGGAAUUACUGGGCGUAAAGCGUGCGUAGGCGGUUGGUUAAGUCUGCUGUGAAAGCCCCGGGCUCAACCUGGGAAUGGCAGUGGAUACUGGCUAGCUAGAGUGUGAUAGAGGAUGGUGGAAUUCCCGGUGU
rnacentral:rRNA from 1 species